CUCUCAGACUCCACUUUUUCCUGCAAUCUCAAGAAAAGAAUGAGAUGUUGACUCUGAUAAAGAAAUUUCAUGUUGGUUAGUAUUCUUUCUCAUCUCACACUCAUGUCCCACCACCAGUCCAGCCAGAAGGCUUCCCAAAGGAAAUUCCAAGAAAGGUGCAUGGAAAACACAGGGCUGGCCAGGAAGAUGGCAGUGAGGGUUGUCAGGACCACACCUGUACAGGAAGAGAAUGGUGGUGAUGGAGGAGUUAAGCAAGAUGAGCUCUCAGCAGUGGGCUACAGGAGUGCUUGCAGAAGAAAGGAGGCUGUUGAUGGCUGGGACACAAGUCAUCCCAGGUAAGUGGCCACAUCAUCUAAUUUUGAGUGAAAAUGCCAUCCUCUGCUGACAACCAGCAUUGCUCAAUCUAAUGGAUUCCUAUCAAAGCAUUUCUUUCAACCAACUGGCGCUUUAUCAAGGAAUCCCCAACCUGCUUGGAUUUUUUCCACUUGAAAGCAAGUGCCAAGAGCUGGAAUAGAUUCUUAUCUGAACAAUAACACUACAGAAGCUGUACAGAGCAAGGCUUCAGCCAGUGGGCUGAACAAAAUAGAUGAGCUGUAUCAAAACAGAUGUAUUUCUUUGCACCAGGCCUUAGAAGAAAUCAACAGAAGCAGAGAUUAAGGCAUGUCAGUGUGCCAGAGUGGCUUUCCACACAAGAGGACAACCCCAUAUUUUUGGAUUUAGAACGACUUCACAACAUAUCUCCCUGACAUUUGUUUGUUGGCUGAUUUAUUGCACCAAGUGCCAGCCUGACUUCCUGCCAUCAGUAACACAGCGCUGUCAAUAUCUGGGCAUUGAAAUCAUUUGUCUGGCUGGUUCAUCUAUUCUUGGAGUGCUUUCUCACUUAGAAGUGAACGCUCCCACAAAGAACUGUCUCUAACAUACAGAAAAACCAUUAAAAACUAUUGGUGGAAAGCAAUGGUGCGAUGGAGUUACUGGUCCCAUAGCACCCUCCCAUGAUGGCCAAAGAGACCAGCCACAGUGAUCAGACCCAGUGCCAGCUGCCCCAGCACUGCCACAUGCCAGGGGAUACUCAGGUCAGUGCUGCUGUAAGCAACUCACGGCAGCCUUACAUGAAGUGACAUUUCUGGGGUCUCAGCAGGGAAGUGAAGCUUCAGGUUGAGCUCCCUCCACUCAAAGGAAGUGUCACUCUUAAGAGAUGCCGAUUCUUUUGCCUGAAGUAGGGAACAGAGCUUGAAAAUCUGAAAGGAGCCAUGGUAAUGUCAUUGCUUGAGAGAGACAUAACUGGGAGAAACUGGGCAAUCAAGACAGAAAAAGUACAGCUUCUAAAUGUGUAUUGCCAUCCAGCUAAUUCCUGCCUCUCCCCCGAUGCCUCCUCUGCUGAUGCUCCAGUCCCCACUUCAAUACCUGCCAGGUCCUCUUAGAGAGCUGACAUUUCCAUUCCUGACAUUUUCUGCAGCUCCAUCUGGGAAUUAAUGGCCGGAUAUUAGCAGCGAUGGGGCCGUUUAUCAUAAUUAGUCUCAUGAAGCUACUAAGCAUCCAACUAUUUUUCAUCAGCACCGAGGAAAUAAACUGCAGAAUCCAGUAGAUGCGACGGACGAUUUAUUUAUUGAUUGAUUUAUUUUGGUCUGUCAGGAUGCGGCUUUAAAGUUUGCAGAGAUGAGCAAUGCUUCUCCAAGGCGAUGACGACAGUGAGGCUGCUCGCCUUGGGUGCACAAGUGGCAGGAAAAAGGCUUUGAACCCCUCUGAGACAGUGAGGAGGCAUUUGGUACCCUACAUCUACUCUGCUGCCAUGAAAUGACGAGUGGUGACAGGCUGAGCCCUGCCUUGACAAGCCCAGGAGGAGAGACCAUGUGAUGGCAUCAGGAAGGGAAGACAUCUCAAGGUGUGCUUUUUUUUCCCCAUAGGGAAAGAAAAUGCUGAGUAACAGCUGACCCUGCAGAAGACAGGACAGGGACCAACACCUCCAGGACUGUCACGUAGAGGGCCGUGCCAGGUAGUCCUGGCACCAUCAGCCACCUGCUUUGGGGGAGAUAAGGUUCAGCCUGUGGUACCUCACACCUGUUGUGCUUUCAAUCUCAGGCUUUAAAGGCCAGUGGAGUAAAUUCCCUGUGUUGCUUUGAGAAACAUGUUAGUGCUUGCAUUCCUCUCUGGGGACAGCUGCCCAAGUCCUCCACGUGCUAUUAUUCAUCCUGGUGGUUUGCUUUGAGUAAGAAGCCUGUGCUGCUUUCAGUAGCUCUUCCACCAGCUGGAGAGUCUGGAUGAGCAACUCGCAUGGAUGGAAUGGGAAUAGAUGGGAUUGCUUUGGAUGAGCAGGCUCCAUUUCUCUUUUUCCAAGAGAGAAGUGGUGGUUGCAGGGCUGUGGGCAGCUGCUGCCUGCAGUGAGGCACAAAGGGCUCCUGGUGCUCAGCGCUGCUCUUCUGUCUCUGUGAGUCCCACAGAGUCCUGCUCUAACUGCUAUACAGCUCAGGGCUCACCUGCACAGCACCUCCUCUUCUCCUACAGGCUAAUUAUCAAGAGCUUUCUAUCCUGAGGUUUGCUAUGCAAACAUCGAACAUUUGUGUUUAAAUAUUGCAUUUUUCUGCUGAUGUGAAGCUGGUAAUUACAGCCAGAUGGGACCUGGCUCCCAGGCAGAUGCAGGGCCCAAACACUGCAGGAUGGUGGCUUUGUGCAGCCAUGUGGCCAACCACCAGCAGGUGUAUCAGAGAAGCUGAAUGUAAUUAAAAACAAUGCAAAAAGAUGCACAUCCUCCAAAAACAACCAUGUUAUGAACAGCCCAAGUGCCUGGGAUGCUGCCCCUCUCCUCACCUCAUAGCCCUAACUGAGCUCAGGCAUCUGCUGCAGCACAGAUAAUAGCUGCAACCUGAAGCAGGAGCUCAGUCUAGCUAACCAUGAGCAAUUUAAGUAGCACUGGUUAAGAAACCCUCGCAGGUGACACAUGCAGAGGAGAUGACCUACAAGCGCUGCAGCCCUUUCUCUGGAAAUCACUCCCUCCCCGUUUCACCUCCACCUCCCCACCAGCCACACUGCUGCUUUUGCAGCAGACAUCUGGUACACUCUAGGUGUGCUCUCAAGCCAAGAGGUGCAAAGCCAGAGCCCAAUCUCCUGCCCAGACAAACUGAUGUUUAAUUCCCAAGUGCUGGAAUGCAUCCUCCUUGGGGUCACAGACAGUGUUACACAGCAACCUGCUCACACACUCAGCUGUGAGACAUGUCCAACCACCUGCCUGCCAAACAGGAGCCAGUUGCAUGGGAAGGAGAGAGGGAAAGCAGCAGAGAAGAGCAGGAAGUCCAGGAGAUGUAACACAAAUCAUUGUUUUGUGAGAAGAGCUAGAGCCGUAGCAAAUACGUACUGUAAUCUGAGACAAGUGCUAAGCCCUGAUAGGUUUCCUGAUAAAAUCAGGAUCUCUGUUAGUGAGAGGCAGAGAAGAGGAGCAGAUAACGGUGAGAUAGGAAGCUCUGAUACAUCCAUCAAGCCUGCACCAAAGUUCUUGGAUCACAUCAUCUGUGGCAGACCAACCAGAAGCCUCUGGAUGUGAUUCAUGUUCAUGCUGCCCUUACUUCUCUGCUACCAUCUCCCUGGUGUAACUCCUAGCAGGGAAGCUGCUUCUCCCUUUUCCUGGGCUGUGUGCACUUCUGAUUUCUCAAAUCUUCCCCCAAAAUUCCAAAAGUAGAGCUUUCCAAAGGAACUCAUUUCUGCUAACAUGCACCCAAGGAAAGUGCUAUCUGCUUGAAAGGGAAGGGAAAAAGGGUAAGGGAAGUGAAAAUGAGAAGGGAAGGAAAAAAAGGGAAAGGGAGAAGGGAAGGGGAAAAAGGGAAGGAUAGGGACUCAUCAGCUCUCUUCUUUCUGCACCCAAUUUGGCAUGCCAUUACCUACUUGUGUUUAUGUAGUAACCUUAUCCAACGCCACGUGGGUCUACGGAGGCUGUGUUGUACUGCUAUUGCCUUCAUGAAUAAUGGAUCCCCUUCUACCUUCCCUCUCCUCUUCCCUGUUAGAUCCCAUUUCAUGUUGGGCACAUCUGGUAUGUUUACUGCAUCUCUGGGGUUGCUCUGAGCUCUCUGAUUCUCAGCUCCAGUUCCCUCCACUUCCCAGGUGCAUAUGAUAUGCAACAAGGUACCAGGAAAAAUUGGAGAGGUUAUUAGCAGUGGCAUGUGCAACAUCUACUUCUUGGGUUCUUUAAGGUAUUUCUAUUGCUUCCAGUCAGGCUGUGAAGCUUCUCAUGCCAGGGCCCUGGCCCUUUUAAUACUUAUGGCCCUAGCCAGCUUUAGCCAGCUGUCCCCUUGUGCUUGGCUCUGCCUGCCACGUUCAGAUGCUGUGGGACUGUGCCCUGACUGAGGGGCACUGCCUUGACUGGGAUUACCUGUGCUCGUGGCUGGCCUGGUAGGGAGCUGCAGCUUCUUGCUUCUCCUUGAAGCCUGUAAGUUUCUCUUCUGGACUUUCACAUUGUAAAGGCAAAAAUGUAUAGCUGCAGGAACAAGAUACCCACCAUUCUGGUUCUAAAAAGUUAAGUGUCUAUGGCUGAAAGAAGCACAGGCACAUUGCUAUGAGUUUUAGGGCCAGAAAAAUGCAGGGGAUGACUUAAACAAUGCAGUCUGGAGAAUUUCUUUCUCCUCAUCCCUGGAAAUCCCUGGAUUUAUUCAGUUUUACAUGGUAAAGGCCAGUAUUUCUGUCUUAUUCUUCUCCAGAAGCCCCAGGCCCAACAGUGAGUGCUUUAGCAGGAAAUAUGCUAUGUCAUUUAGUAGCAUCAUGGGUGUCUCUUCACCUGCUGCAGUGCCACUUUGACCCAGUGUGAGGACUCUGUUGAGUUCAGCUACAUCUCUUUAGAGUGACUUUGUAGAAUACGUAGGUAUGAAGAGUCAUCAGAGUUGUUUGCUGACCCCAGUUCAGUCCAGCUCUCUUUCUCCUCCAGUCUGAAUGCUGCAGGCUCUGAGAAGCUCCAAGCUUCCAAGCCCUUAUGUGGAACUAUAUUACCAUUAUGUUUUCUUCUGCCAACCUCAACAGCUCAGUCUCUGUAAUCUUUGCUAUCCUCA